GACGAACGCUGGCGGCGUGCUUAACACAUGCAAGUCGAACGGAAAGGCCCUUCUUUUGUGGGGUGCUCGAGUGGCGAACGGGUGAGUAACACGUGAGUAACCUGCCCUGCACUUUGGGAUAACUUCAGGAAACUGGGGCUAAUACCGGAUAGGAGCUCCUUCUGCAUGGUGUGGUUUGGAAAUUUUCGGCGGUUGGGGAUGGACUCGCGGCUUAUCAGCUUGUUGGUGGGGUAGUGGCUUACCAAGGCUUUGACGGGUAGCCGGCCUGAGAGGGUGACCGGCCACAUUGGGACUGAGAUACGGCCCAGACUCCUACGGGAGGCAGCAGUGGGGAAUAUUGCACAAUGGGCGGAAGCCUGAUGCAGCGACGCCGCGUGCGGGAUGACGGCCUUCGGGUUGUAAACCGCUUUCGCCUGUGACGAAGCGUGAGUGACGGUACUGGGUGAAGAAGCACCGGCUAACUACGUG
rnacentral:rRNA from 1 species